UAGUCCUACGGGGGGCAGCAGUGGGGAAUAUUGCACAAUGGGCGAAAGCCUGAUGCAGCAACGCCGCGUGAAGGAAGAAGGGUUUCGGCUCGUAAACUUCUAUCAACAGGGACGAAAGAAAUGACGGUACCUGAAUAAGAAGCCCCGGCUAACCACGUGCCAGCAGCCGGGGUAAUACGUAGGGGGCAAGCGUUAUCCGGAAUUACUGGGGGGAAAGGGGGGGGAGGCGGCAUGGUAAGGCGGAAGGGGAAGCCAUGGGCUU
rnacentral:rRNA from 1 species